GCAUAUCAAUAAGCGGAGGAAAAGAAACCAACAGGGAUUGCCCCAGUAACGGCGAGUGAAGCGGCAACAGCUCAAAUUUGAAAUCUGGCCUCGGCCCGAGUUGUAAUUUGCAGAGGAAGCUUUAGGCGCGGCCCCAACUGAGUCCCCUGGAACGGGGCGCCACAGAGGGUGAGAGCCCCGUAUAGUUGGACGCCUAGCCUGUGUAAAGCUCCUUCGACGAGUCGAGUAGUUUGGGAAUGCUGCUCAAAAUGGGAGGUAAAUUUCUUCUAAAGCUAAAUACCGGCCAGAGACCGAUAGCGCACAAGUAGAGUGAUCGAAAGAUGAAAAGCACUUUGAAAAGAGGGUUAAAUAGCACGUGAAAUUGUUGAAAGGGAAGCGCUUGUGACCAGACUUGCGCCGGGCUGAUCAUCCGGUGUUCUCACCGGUGCACUCUGCCCGGCUCAGGCCAGCAUCGGUUCUCGCGGGGGGACAAAGGCUCCGGGAACGUAGCUCCUCCGGGAGUGUUAUAGCCCGGGGCGCAAUGCCCCCGCGGGGACCGAGGACCGCGCUCUGCAAGGAUG
rnacentral:rRNA from 1 species